rnacentral:rRNA from 1 species
UACAGAGGGGGCAAGCGUUGUUCGGAAUUAUUGGGCGUAAAGGGCGCGUAGGCGGUGCCACAAGUCACUUGUGAAAUCCCCGGGCUUAACUCGGGGCCUGCAGGCGAAACUGUGGUGCUGGAGUAUGGGAGAGGUGCGUGGAAUUCCCGGUGUAGCGGUGAAAUGCGUAGAUAUCGGGGGGAACACCAGUGGCGAAGGCGACUUCCUGGCCUGUUCUUGACGCUGAGGCGCGAAAGCUAGGGUAGCAAACGGG